GCCCCGGUGGCCGAGCGGUCGAAGGCGUGAGACUUGUUCUCAUUGGGUUAAACCAGUCGCGGGUUCGAAUCCCGCCCGGGGCA
ensembl:tRNA